AUGGACGAUGCCAGUUGUAGGCACACUGGAGGUAUUGGUGGUUGUCUGCUCGCACUUUCCAUAUGGAGCUGGGAGCGUUUGCCGGUUGGACGAUCUAAGACCGUGAAGUACGAGGAUUGGGACGAUAAAGACGACCCACUACGGCUCCCCACUUGGGCUUACAAGUGGGAUGUGUUAAAUGAGACGACGGAUGAUCCCUCUGUAAUGUACAAGUUGUACAAGAGCGAGCUGGACGCGAUCACGCCUGAGCAGGUGAACCGACCUUGCAUAAGUGAUUAUCAUGCUUGUAUCUUCACUCGAUAUCAAUUUUGCAUUCAAUCCCAUUUUGCAGAUGGAAUGGGAGCCGUAUGGAAAAGGAGAGAGUUUUGGUAA
rnacentral:rRNA from 1 species